rnacentral:piRNA from 1 species
ACCAAAUGUAGAACAGAGAACUG